UACGAAGGGGGCUAGCGUUGCUCGGAAUCACUGGGCGUAAAGCGCACGUAGGCGGCUUACUAAGUCAGGGGUGAAAUCCUGGAGCUCAACUCCAGAACUGCCUUUGAUACUGGUGAGCUUGAGUCCGGAAGAGGUGAGUGGAACUGCGAGUGUAGAGGUGAAAUUCGUAGAUAUUCGCAAGAACACCAGUGGCGAAGGCGGCUCACUGGUCCGGGACUGACGCUGAGGUGCGAAAGCGUGGGGAGCAAACAGG
rnacentral:rRNA from 1 species